UGGGGAAUAUUGCACAAUGGGCGCAAGCCUGAUGCAGCCAUGCCGCGUGUAUGAAGAAGGCCUUCGGGUUGUAAAGUACUUUCAGCGGGGAGGAAGGCGAUAAGGUUAAUAACCUUGCCGAUUGACGUUACCCGCAGAAGAAGCACCGGCUAACUCCGUGCCAGCAGCCGCGGUAAUACGGAGGGUGCAAGCGUUAAUCGGAAUUACUGGGCGUAAAGCGCACGCAGGCGGUCUGUCAAGUCGGAUGUGAAAUCCCCGGGCUCAACCUGGGAACUGCAUUCGAAACUGGCAGGCUAGAGUCUUGUAGAGGGGGGUAGAAUUCCAGGUGUAGCGGUGAAAUGCGUAGAGAUCUGGAGGAAUACCGGUGGCGAAGGCGGCCCCCUGGACAAAGACUGACGCUCAGGUGCGAAAGCGUGGGGAGCAAACA
rnacentral:rRNA from 1 species